GACGAACGCUGGCGGCGUGCUUAACACAUGCAAGUCGAACGGAAAGGCCCUGCUUUUGUGGGGUGCUCGAGUGGCGAACGGGUGAGUAACACGUGAGUAACCUGCCCUUGACUUUGGGAUAACUUCAGGAAACUGGGGCUAAUACCGGAUAGGAGCUCCUGCUGCAUGGUGGGGGUUGGAAAGUUUCGGCGGGUGGGGAUGGACGCGCGGCUUAUCAGCUUGUUGGUGGGGGAGUGGAUUACCAAGGCUUUGGCGGGUAGCCGGCCUGAGAGGGUGACCGGCCACAUUGGGACUGAGAUACGGCCCAGACUCCUACGGGAGGCAGCAGUGGGGAAUAUUGCACAAUGGGCGGAAGCCUGAUGCAGCAACGCCGCGUGCGGGAUGACGGCCUUCGGGUUGUAAACCGCUUUCGCCUGUGACGAAGCGUGAGUGACGGUAAUGGGUAAAGAAGCACCGGCUAACUACGUG
rnacentral:rRNA from 1 species